ACCACAAGCCUGUGCAGAAUGAGCAUGAGGAAAAUGCUUCUUCAUGGCAAAGGCCCAAUGUGUGCAGAGUCAAUCAUACCCAGCAUUGGGCCUUGCCUCCUGAGGAUGGGAAGGGGGGUGCUGAUGUGGCAGUAGUCCUGGACUUUGAGAUCUGCUGGCCAUUUGGAGGAUCCCAGAUUUUCAUUGCAGAAGACUCAAAGAACCAUGUCCAGGUCCAAUUCUCUAGGACACCCGGAUCCAUCUGCAGUUCUGCAGUUGUUCAACAUUUAGAGAGGUCGUAAAACACACAGACUCCAAAAAGUGUGGGGAUGAAGGAUUUCAACGCCAAUUUGAUUAUAGCUAACAGAUACUGCCUCAGGCA